rnacentral:rRNA from 1 species
GUAGCGCCACGGAUCUUCGGUUGGCCCCGGAUAGCCGGCUUCGGUCGGUGAGUAGAGCCGUUCGUGACAGGGCUGGGGUGCGGCCGGAUGGUGGUCGCCCCUCUCCUAUCUCGCACCGCAUGUUUGUGGAGAACUUGGUGCUAAAUCACUUGCAGACGACCUGAUUCUGGGUCAGGGUUUCGUACGUAGCAGAGCAGCUCCCUCGCUGCGAUCU